CCCCAUUCGAGUAUUCAGCUGUGUGCACAUGGCUGUUAGUUCCAGUGUUUGAGUGGCCGUAGCUUCUUGCUGGGCUUUCAGGUCUUGGACCCCGUCUUCCGCAGCAUGUAUGCGGCCCAUGAGCGUGGUCAGUGCUGACUUGAGGCCCGCUAGUUCCGCCGCGAAAAAGGCCUUGAGGUCUGUCACCAUACCGGACAAGUCGACCUUAGUGGCUACUUGGUGUUCUG